UAGGGAAUCUUCGGCAAUGGACGGAAGUCUGACCGAGCAACGCCGCGUGAGUGAAGAAGGUUUUCGGAUCGUAAAGCUCUGUUGUAAGAGAAGAACGAGUGUGAGAGUGGAAAGUUCACACUGUGACGGUAUCUUACCAGAAAGGGACGGCUAACUACGUGCCAGCAGCCGCGGUAAUACGUAGGUCCCGAGCGUUGUCCGGAUUUAUUGGGCGUAAAGCGAGCGCAGGCGGUUAGAUAAGUCUGAAGUUAAAGGCUGUGGCUUAACCAUAGUACGCUUUGGAAACUGUUUAACUUGAGUGCAAGAGGGGAGAGUGGAAUUCCAUGUGUAGCGGUGAAAUGCGUAGAUAUAUGGAGGAACACCGGUGGCGAAAGCGGCUCUCUGGCUUGUAACUGACGCUGAGGCUCGAAAGCGUGGGGAGCAAACAGGAUUAGAUACCCUGGUAGUCCACGCCGUACGAUGAGUGCUGUGUUAGACCCUUUCCGGGGUUUAGUGCCGCAGCUAACGCAUUAAGCACUCCGCCUGGGGAGUACGACCGCAAU
rnacentral:rRNA from 1 species